rnacentral:rRNA from 1 species
CAAUAGCGUAUAUUAACGUUGUUGCAGUUAAAAAGCUCGUAGUUGGAUUUCUGGAGGGAGCGUCGGCCCGUAUUUACGAGUGCGUGACGUCUCUGUCCAUUUUUGCGGGAAGGCACGGCAUUGAUUUGUUGUGUCGGAUCGCAUCAUUUACUGUGAAAAAAUUAGAGUGUUCAAAGCAGGCUUUCGCUUGAAUACAUUAGCAUGGAAUAAUAAGAUAGGACUUUGGUGCUAUUUUGUUGGUUGAGCCUAAAGUAAUGAUUAAUAGGGAUAGUUGGGGGCACCUGUAUUGCGUUGUCAGAGGUGAAAUUCUUGGAUUUACGCAAGACAAACAGCUGCGAAAGCGUCUGCCAAGGAUGUUUUCAUUAA